rnacentral:lncRNA from 1 species
UUCUAACUUUAUGUUGACUCUACGUAAAAUCUAGACCGCAUGACCAUAUUUUUUUAUUAACGGCCCGAGCUUGAUCACUUCUUUCAAUUACAAUAUAGAUGCAUAUGCCAUCUGUCACCCGUAGUAUACAAAUCCCUAUAGUGUUGGCAAUAGAAUCUGCAAAGGCUUUGAGCGUGGAGGUGGUGGACGACAAGACUCU